GCCAACCUCGGUAGAAAAGGUGUUAUUAAUCAAGGUGUUUACGCUACACACCAUACUGGCCAACAAAAAUCCAUUUUAAGUUUAAAUUUGUUUGGAUGACACCAAUUCUGAUGUCAGUUCUGUAAGAUAGUUACAUAGAGAAAUAGAAACAAAUAAGUAACUAUUGGUCCAAACUCCACAUCGUAGUUCAGAAAGCUGUAGAAAAUUCAAAAGAUAAUUGAUUGAUUCUGAAUUCAAAAUACAUAAGCAGCCGAAUUUUUGCUCAGUAAUAUUCUAAUACUCUCAACACGCUGCUCUCCCUAAUCGCGACUCUAGCAGAUGAAUUGCAUGCAGCAACUGAAGUAAAGUAUUGUAGAAGGGAAUCAAUUUAUACCUACAAUUUGUCACCAC
rnacentral:misc_RNA from 1 species